rfam:Aspergillus ustus strain 3.3904 ATSC_27, whole genome shotgun sequence.
AUGACUAUGGGUUAAUGGUAGACCGUUCGUCUUCCAAACGAAGAGUGUCGAUUCGAUUUCGACUAGUCAUA